rnacentral:rRNA from 1 species
AUACGUAGGAUUCGAGCGUUGUCCGGAUUUAUUGGGCGUAAAGGGUGCGUAGGCGGACCUGCAAGUGCCUUGUGAAAUCCCACGGCUUAACCGUGGAACUGCUGGGCAGACUGCAGGUCUUGAGCUCGGUAGAGGCUGUCGGAACUCUAGGUGUAGCGGUGAAAUGCGUAGAUAUCUAGAGGAACGCCCAUGGUGAAAACAGGCAGCUGGGCCGACGCUGACGCUCAGGCACGAAAGCGUGGGGAGCGAAUGGGAUUAGAAACCCCAGUAGUCC